rnacentral:lncRNA from 1 species
UGGAAAUUAAGCAUGAAAUUGCAUGAAUAUUGAACAACCAAAAGUUAAACAAUGUUUGAACAAGUCUCACAAUCCUUUAAACAACUAAAACUUCAACCAAACUUCAACUAGAUUAAAAGAAUUCAGCUACACAUGGCUGAAUUAAAAACUGAAAAAAUAAAAAGAAAAGCAAGAGAGGAAGAACCCGAAGGCGGUGCGCACGCCUCUCCUUGUGUGGCCGAAUGGUCUUCUCUUCAAGGCUGUGGUGUGGCUGGCCUUAGGUGAGUUUAUAUAGGGUCUUGAGGUGCUGGCUUAGGGUUUCUUGGCUGUCCAUAAAUCUUUAAGGGGCUGUCCAAAAUACCCUUGCCUUCAAGUGUGCACUUACCUUGCCACCCAUGCACAUGUGUGAGGGAGUGGCGUGUGGCUUGCCUUAUAUUGCAAGGAGUGGGGCCUUUGGUCUUUGCUUGCUACCCAAGUGUCUUCAAGGUGCUACCCAAGCUGCCCAAGGAGCCUCUUCACACCAUCCUUGCCGCCCAUGCCAUUUAAGGAAGGUGGAGCCUUCCUUUGCAAUUUGAAAUUUGAAUGUGCAAGGCAUGAGGUGUGGAACAUGUGAUCUUUUGGAUUUGGCUUCCUUAAUAAGCUGAAUCUUGAAAUUUAAAAUUUGAAUAUGAAUCUUGGAGAUUUGAAUUUCAAAAUACUUUCCUUAUUUGGCUCUUCAUUUAUGGCAACUUAUGACUUGGCUUCUUGAAUAAGGAAAAGGCUACUUGGAGAUUUGAAAUUUGAAUUUCAAAUUGCCUUGGCUGAAUGUUCUUUCCAUAUUUAAAACUUUCCUUAUUUAGAACCACUUGACUCCAACUUGGCAGGUUGCUCUCUUUUGCUCCAAAUAAGGCAGUUUUAGGGGGAUUUUCUCAAAAAUGUCAUUUUAUACCAUUUUCUGCAAAAUAAUAUCAAAAGCACUAGAUUAAGCAGAAAUCAUGUAAAUAAUCAUUAAUAAUGUCAAUAUAAAAUGGACUAAAUUAUGCUCUAUCAAAUACCCCCAC